rnacentral:rRNA from 1 species
UACGUAGGGGGCAAGCGUUGUCCGGAAUCAUUGGGCGUAAAGAGCGUGUAGGCGGCCAGAUAAGUCCGCUGUGAAAUCUCGAGGCUCAACCUCGGGACGUCGGCGGAAACCGUACGGCUAGAGUCCGGAAGAGGAGAGCGGAAUUCCUGGUGUAGCGGUGAAAUGCGCAGAUAUCAGGAAGAACACCCGUGGCGAAGGCGGCUCUCUGGGACGGUACUGACGCUGAGGCACGAAAGCGUGGGGAGCAAACAGG